rnacentral:lncRNA from 1 species
CCUGUAUCAGGCAUAUUGCCCUUGUUGAAACUUACGGAUGAAAUAUUUUGAAACUUCUUCUCCUCAAAGCCAAGGAGGGUCAUUUGAGUCCAUGGAUCCCCAUGUCAAGAAGCCUUGCUUUGGGUAAAUUAGGCCAGAGGGAAGGAGGAACAUUUCUUUGCCAUAUGCUUCUCCAUUGCAAUCUUUUCCAGCCUCAGUCUUCUCCUUCUCAUUAAUAUCCUUCAUGAUUUCUCAGAAUUUUCUCUGGACUUUCAGGUCAACCAAAAAAGCAACAUCUUUCCCACAGCAGUCCUAAGGAAGCACAUCUUUCCCACAGCAGUCCUAAGGAAGUGGAAGCCUUGGCAACGGCCACCAUUCCUUCCUCUGGAGUCAGUAUCUAAUCUCUUUCUACUGCUUUGCCUAAUGUGGACAAAUGGUGUCUGG